rnacentral:rRNA from 1 species
ACACGGUCGCAAGACUAAAACUCAAAGGAAUUGACGGGGACCCGCACAAGCGGUGGAGCAUGUGGUUUAAUUCGAUGCAACGCGAAAAACCUUACCACUCCUUGACAUGGAGAUUAGAUCCUUCUUAACGGAAGGGCGCAGUUCGGCUGGAUCUCGCACAGGUGCUGCAUGGCUGUCGUCAGCUCGUGUCGUGAGAUGUUGGGUUAAGUCCCGCAACGAGCGUAACCCUCAUCCUUAGUUGCCAGCGGGUAAUGCCGGGCACUUUAAGGAAACUGCCGGUGGUAAACUGGAGGAAGGUGGGGAUGAUGUCAAGUCAGCACGGCCCUUAUGGGGUGGGCUACACACGUGCUACAAUGGUGACUACAAUAGGUUGCAAUGUCGCAAGGCUGAGCUAAUCCGUAAAAGUCAUCUCAGUUCGGAUUGUCCUCUGCAACUCGAGGGCAUGAAGUCGGAAUCGCUAGUAAUCGUGGAUCAGCAUGCCACGGUGAAUACGUUCUCGGGUCUUGUACACACUGCCCGUCACGCCAUGGGAAUUGGCUUAACUCGAAGCUGGUGCGCUAACCGAAAGG